UACGUAGGGGGCUAGCGUUGUCCGGAUUUAUUGGGCGUAAAGAGCGUGUAGGCGGCCAUGUAGGUCCGGUGUGAAAACUCGAGGCUUAACCUCGAGAUGUCAUCGGAAACCAUCUGGCUAGAGUCCGGAAGAGGAGAGUGGAAUUCCUGGUGUAGCGGUGAAAUGCGCAGAUAUCAGGAGGAACACCGAUGGCGAAGGCAGGUCUCUGGGCAUUAACUGACGCUGAGGAGCGAAAGCAUGGGGAGCGAACAGG
rnacentral:rRNA from 1 species